UGUUUAUAGAAGCUUGAUUCAUAAUUGCCAAAGAACUGGAAACAACCCAAAUGGUCUCCAACAGAGGACUGGAAGAGAGAAGAUAAGGAAAAGCCGUCAUUCUCUGUCAUCAGGAGGAGGAAGACACAUAGGGGUCCUCACUGAAACUCUACACAACUCCCAGCAACUUCUAGCGUUCAAGAUGCCAGUGUGAGUAAGGGGCCCUGGCACGUCAAGUUCAUCAAGAUCAAGUUCCAUCUGUUGAAACAUCAUGCAAAUUCAGACUAUGACUCCAGAGCCAGUUGCCUUACCUGACAAGUACUGAACCUGGAAGCGAUACUGUUCAUGUGAUCUACAAUCAGGCAUUCAAAAAGGAUUAAGGAAAGGGGAGGACAGCUGAGACUAGAAGUCGUCUUAAAAAGUUUAAAUCACUGCCAGAAUGUGCUUCUUAAAUGAAUUUCUGCUGACUCUGCUUUUUCUUCCAAGAAAAUAAUACUGCUGUGCCCAGUACCUUUCAUGGAACAUCUGACUGAAAAAUUGGCAGAAUACACGUUUCUCAUUUAGGCAGAGAAUCAUUUUAUUUUAGAG